GUUGACCUCUCAGUGCCACCCUAACUCACUACACCGGGCUUCUGCGAUGUUACUGCAAACAAAAUAGGCAUGAGCAUGCUUAUCUGUGUUACUGCUGGAGAAAGAACAAGAAACAGCAUUGACAGAAGACAAAAAAAACAUGAAAAGGAGGACAGCUUGAGCACUAAUGUCAACAGAUGAUUGUAAAGCAUGCAUGAACAUCAGCAGUCACCAUGAACAGCAGCUACCACCAGAGGCAAGGAGGCAGGAAGAGUCAAGGACCACAAA